rnacentral:rRNA from 1 species
AUAGUAUAGCUACUUGGUCAUUUAGAGGAAGUAAAAGUCGUAACAAGGUUUCCGUAGGUGAACCUGCGGAAGGAUCAUUAGUGAAUGCCUUUGGGCUUUUAACCAAAUCAAACCUUUGUGAACCGUGGCCUCCGGGCCGUCUUCAAAAACACAGUGUAAUGAACGUCAAUUGAUGUAAACAAGUAAAACUUUCAACAACGGAUCUCUUGGCUCUCGCAUCGAUGAAGAACGCAGCGAAAUGCGAUAAGUAAUGUGAAUUGCAGAAUUCAGUGAAUCAUCGAAUCUUUGAACGCACCUUGCGCCUUUUGGUAUUCCGAAAGGCAUGCCUGUUUGAGUGUCAUGAAAUAUCAAUCCUCCCGGGUUUCCGGAGCGAUCGGAUCUGGGCCUGCCUCCUGGCUUUGCCUUAAAUGAGUUAGUGUCCCAAGCUCUGGGUCGGACGUAAUAAGUUUCGUCUGUCCCCUCUGCCUUGCGUCGCUCACAACCACCACUUUUUANCUCUGACCUNAAAUCAGGUAGGACUACCGCUGAACUU